rnacentral:rRNA from 1 species
CCUACGGGAGGCAGCAGUGGGGAAUAUUGGGCAAUGGGCGCUAGCCUGACCCAGCAAAGUAGCGUGAAGGAAGAAGGCUCUCGGGUUGUAAACCUCUUUUUAGAGGGAAGUGCAGAAGACGGUACCUCUUGAAUAAGCCACGGCUAACUACGUGCCAGCAGCCGCGGUCAUACGUAGGUGGCCAGCAUUAUCCGGAUUUACUGGGUUUAACGGGCGUGUAGCCGGACUGGCAAGUCAGAUGUGAAAUUUCGGGGCUCAACCGCGGACUUGCAGUUGACACUGUCAGUCUUGAGUAUCGGAGAGGCGGGCGGAAUUCGUGGUGUAGCGGUGAAAUGCGUAGAUAUUAGGAGGAACACCAGUGGCGAAGGCGGCCUGCUGGACGACAACUGACGGUGAGGCGCGAAAGCGUGGGGAGCAAACAGGAUUAGAUACCCUGGUAGUC